UUUGGAAGAUGCAUAGUUGUUCUUGGCACUCUGCUCACCAUAUAGCCAAAGUCAGCAUGGAUGCUGACUUAGAUGCCAUAGCCCAUGGAUGGGCAUUUGGCAUCGUUGGUGUAUGUAAAAAACAACUUGGCAGAGUGCUUAGAACAACCCGCAUCGGACAAC
rfam:Firmicutes bacterium CAG:882 genomic scaffold, scf580